AUUGAACGCUGGCGGCAGGCCUAACACAUGCAAGUCGAGCGGAUGAAGGGAGCUUGCUCCUGGAUUCAGCGGCGGACGGGUGAGUAAUGCCUAGGAAUCUGCCUGGUAGUGGGGGAUAACGUCCGGAAACGGGCGCUAAUAUCGCAUACGACCUGAGGGAGAAAGGGGGGGAUCUUCGGACCUCACGCUAUCAGAUGAGCCUAGGUCGGAUUAGCUAGUUGGUGGGGUAAAGGCCUACCAAGGCGACGAUCCGUAACUGGUCUGAGAGGAUGAUCAGUCACACUGGAACUGAGACACGGUCCAGACUCCUACGGGAGGCAGCAGUGGGGAAUAUUGGGCAAUGGGCGAAAGCCUGAUCCAGCCAUGCCGCGUGUGUGAAGAAGGUCUUCGGAUUGUAAAGCACUUUAAGUUGGGAGGAAGGGCAGUAAGUUAAUACCUUGCUGUUUUGACGUUACCAACAGAAUAAGCACCGGCUAACUUCGUG
rnacentral:rRNA from 1 species